UACAGAGGUGGCAAGCGUUGUUCGGAAUUACUGGGCGUAAAGGGCGCGUAGGCGGUUCGAUAAGUCUUGCGUGAAAUCCCCCGGCUCAACUGGGGAACUGCGCGGGAAACUGUCGGGCUUGAGUUCGGGAGAGGGAAGCGGAAUUCCGGGUGUAGCGGUGAAAUGCGUAGAUAUCCGGAGGAACACCGGUGGCGAAGGCGGCUUCCUGGACCGACACUGACGCUGAGGCGCGAAAGCCAGGGGAGCAAACGGG
rnacentral:rRNA from 1 species